rnacentral:rRNA from 1 species
GGUGCUUGAGUAGCAAUACGAGAGUAUCCUAGUGGCGAACGGGUGAGUAACGCGUGGAUGACCUGCCCCAAAGUGUGGGAUAACAGUCCGAAAGGAUUGCUAAUACCGCAUGUGGUUAUCGGUUUUAGAAAGCGAUAACUAAAGCAGCAAUGCGCUUUGGGAGGGAUCUGCGUCCCAUCAGCUAGUUGGUGAGGUAACGGCUCACCAAGGCGACGACGGGUAGGGGACCUGAGAGGGUGGCCCCCCACAAUGGAACUGAAACACGGUCCAUACACCUACGGGUGGCAGCAGUAGGGAAUAUUGCUCAAUGGGCGAAAGCCUGAAGCAGCAACGCCGCGUGUGCGAUGAAGGCCUUCGGGUCGUAAAGCACUUUUCUGCGAGAUGAGAAAGGACAGUAUCGUAGGAAUAAGUCUCGGCUAACUACGUGCCAGCAGCCGCGGUAAAACGUAGGAGGCAAGCGUUAUCCGGAUUCACUGGGCGUAAAGCGCGUGCAGGCGGUUCGGUAAGUUGGGCGUGAAAUCUCCUGGCUUAACUAGGAGAGGUCGUCCAAUACUACCGGGCUUGAGAGUGGUAGAGGAAGAUGGAAUUCCCGGUGUAGUGGUGAAAUGCGUAGAUAUCGGGAGGAACACCAGUGGCGAAAGCGAUCUUCUGGACCAUUUCUGACGCUCAGACGCGAAAGCUAGGGUAGUAAACGGGAUUAGAGACCCCGGUAAUCCUAGCCGUAAACGAUGUAAACUUGGCGUCGGUGGCUUAAACUCCAUCGGUGCCGCAGCUAACGCGAUAAGUUUACCGCCUGGGGACUACGAUCGCAAGAUUAAAACUCAAAGGAAUU